GUCGACGUCAAAAUCGUCUUGUAUAAGUUGAUAGAUAUUUUUUUUUAUAUAAAUACAGUUUUGUGUUACAUUCUCACCUGAUGAAGCGACUGCCCGUCUGAUCUUCCAAUUGAGGGGAGAAUCAGCCCGUUACAAGUACACGUGAGAACUCAUAAGAUUUGUCACAUAUUGGAUUAACUACUUGGUCGGACAAAUGCGGAGCGCUGAGGAGCGUAUGCUACGGUCACUCAAACAAACGUUUGCAGUCGACAGGCGCAACUACUCUACAGGUCUCCGAUAAAACUAGAUCAAGUUAUGUAUCAUACAUUUCGAAGGUAUAAAAUAUAAAACCGAGCAUUACAUAACGUACUUACCUACCUACCAACAUACAUUUGUU